rnacentral:rRNA from 1 species
GGAGUUAGCCGGUGCUUCUUCUGUGAGUGAUGUCCUUCCUGCCGGUUAUUGACCCGCAGGCCUUCUUCCUCACUGAAAGUGCUUUACAACCCGAAGGCCUUCUUCACACACGCGGCAUGGCUGGAUCAGGGUUGCCCCCAUUGUCCAAUAUUCCCCACUGCUGCCUCCCGUAGGAGUCUGGGCCGUGUCUCAGUCCCAGUGUGGCUGAUCAUCCUCUCAGACCAGCUACGGAUCGUCGCCUUGGUGAGCCGUUACCUCACCAACCAGCUAAUCCGACAUAGGCUCAUCCGAUAGCGCGAGGCCCGAAGGUCCCCCGCUUUCCCCCGUAGGGCGUAUGCGGUAUUAGCCUGGGUUUCCCCAGGUUAUCCCCCACUACCGGGGCAGAUUCCUAUGCAUUACUCACCCGUCCGCCGCUCGCCACCAGGGAGCAAGCUCCCCGUGCUGCCGCUCGACUUGCAUGUGUUAGGCCUGCCGCCAGCGUUCAAUCUGAGCCAUGAUCAAACUCUGA